GAGGGAAAGAUGGCAUAGGGACUCUAUGAACAUUAAUACUGUACUGAACACAAAUAUAAUAUGAUAAUAUACGAAUACUUCAUUAUUAAAAAGAAUGAGAUAUGAUAUUCAAGUAGAGAUACAAACAAACAAAAACAACAACGCAUAUACAUGUCUUCAGUUUUUUUGUCUAAAGAUUAGAUGUUGUUUGUAAUUUACAAUAAUUUGA
rnacentral:misc_RNA from 1 species